AGAAAGCCCCAGACGGCGAACAUGCAGCGUUCAUGCUUGCAUGAAACGCUGCAUGUUCAUCGGAUGGGCAGAUAUUCAUGAGCAUGUAUGCCGAUAGGCAGGAAUGCGAAUGAAUGUGCGAUUACGAGAGCCACGAAGUGGCGAAGUAAUCGUAAGGCUUUCU
rnacentral:ncRNA from 1 species